rnacentral:tRNA from 1 species
AGCCCUGUGGUGUAGCGGCUAUCAUAUCGGGCUUUGGACCCGAUGACGGCAGUUCGAAUCUGCCCAGGGCUA